GGAAACGAUGGAAGCUUGCUUCCAGGCGUCGAGUGGCGGACGGGUGAGUAACGCGUAGGAAUCUGCCUGAUAGUGGGGGAUAGCCCGGAGAAAUCCGGAUUAAUACCGCAUAGUCUAUUCGUAGUAAAGGGGGCCUCUAUUUAUAAGCUCUCGCUAUCAGAUGAGCCUGCGUCAGAUUAGCUUGUUGGUGAGGUAAAAGCUCACCAAGGCAACGAUCUGUAGCUGGUCUGAGAGGAUGAUCAGCCACACUGGGACUGAGACACGGCCCAGACUCCUACGGGAGGCAGCAGUGGGGAAUAUUGGACAAUGGGGGCAACCCUGAUCCAGCAAUGCCGCGUGUGUGAAGAAGGCCUGAGGGUUGUAAAGCACUUUCAAUUGUGAAGAAAGGUUAAUAGUUAAUACCUAUUGACUGUGACGUUAACUUUAGAAGAAGCACCGGCUAACUCCGUGCCAGCAGCCGCGGUAAUACGGAGAGUGCAAGCGUUAAUCGGAAUUACUGGGCGUAAAGCGUGCGUAGGUGGUUGUUUAAGUCAGAUGUGAAAGCCCCGGGCUUAACCUGGGAACUGCAUUUGAAACUGGAUAACUAGAGUAUAGUAGAGGAAAGUAGAAUUUCUGGUGUAGCGGUGAAAUGCGUA
rnacentral:rRNA from 1 species